GGGGAGGGUUCUUACGCAUGGGCUCCACUACUUUUUCUCAAUUACUAUGCCACAAUAUCCCAAAAUAAGAAACAUUUGCACUGCGUCUUUAGCACUGCGUCUUUAGCACUGCGUCUUUAGCACUGUUUACGGAUCGCACGACACGUGGCGGUCCGCGAUUGGUUUAUUUAUUUUUUUAUUUUUUAAAACCAGAAAAAAAAUAAAAAUUUAA
rnacentral:lncRNA from 1 species